AUGAACGCUAGCGGCAGGCUUAAUACAUGCAAGUUGAGGGGCAGCAUGAUAUACGCGAGUAUAUUGAUGGCGACCGGCGGACGGGUGAGUAAUAGGUAGGAGACCUACCUCAUACGAGGGGGAUAGCAUAGAGAAAUCUGUGGUAAUACCCCAUGAGGUUAUAUGAAUAGAGGCAUAUAAUCAAAGCAUAAGCGAUUAUGCGGUAUGAGAGGGGCCUACUGACCAUUAGCUAGUUGGUGAGGUAAGGGCUCACCAAGGCGAAGAUGGUUAGGGGUUUUGAGAGAGAGACCCCCCACAUUGGAACUGAGAGACGGUCCAGACUCCUACGGGAGGCAGCAGUAGGGAAUAUUGGGCAAUGGGCGAAAGCCUGACCCAGCCAUGCCGCGUGAAGGAAGACGGCCUUAUGGGUUGUAAACUUCUUUACUACGCGAAUAGAGGUUAGUACGAGAUACUAAUAGGAAGGUAGUGUAGUAAAAAGCACCGGCUAACUCCGUG
rnacentral:rRNA from 1 species